rnacentral:rRNA from 1 species
AUUGAACGCUGGCGGCAGGCCUAACACAUGCAAGUCGAACGGUAACAGAAAGCAGCUUGCUGCUUUGCUGACGAGUGGCGGACGGGUGAGUAAUGUCUGGGAAACUGCCUGAUGGAGGGGGAUAACUACUGGAAACGGUAGCUAAUACCGCAUAACGUCGCAAGACCAAAGAGGGGGACCUUCGGGCCUCUUGCCAUCGGAUGUGCCCAGAUGGGAUUAGCUAGUAGGUGGGGUAACGGCUCACCUAGGCGACGAUCCCUAGCUGGUCUGAGAGGAUGACCAGCCACACUGGAACUGAGACACGGUCCAGACUCCUACGGGAGGCAGCAGUGGGGAAUAUUGCACAAUGGGCGCAAGCCUGAUGCAGCCAUGCCGCGUGUAUGAAGAAGGCCUUCGGGUUGUAAAGUACUUUCAGCGGGGAGGAAGGGAGUAAAGUUAAUACCUUUGCUCAUUGACGUUACCCGCAGAAGAAGCACCGGCUAACUCCGUGCCA